rnacentral:rRNA from 1 species
UAGCGGCGAGUGAAGCGGCAAAAGCUCAAAUUUGAAAUCUGGCGUCUUUGGCGUUCUCGAGUUGUAAUUUGAAGAAGGUAUCUUUGGGCCCGGCUCUUGUCUAUGUUCCUUGGAACAGGACGUCACAGAGGGUGAGAAUCCCGUGCGAUGAGAUGACCCGGGUCUGUGUAAAGUUCCUUCGACGAGUCGAGUUGUUUGGGAAUGCAGCUCUAAGUGGGUGGUAAAUUCCAUCUAAAGCUAAAUAUUGGCGAGAGACCGAUAGCGAACAAGUACAGUGAUGGAAAGAUGAAAAGAACUUUGAAAAGAGAGUGAAAAAGUACGUGAAAUUGUUGAAAGGGAAGGGCUUGAGAUCAGACUUGGUAUUUUGCAUGCUGCUCUCUCGGGGGCGGCCGCUGCGGUUUACCGGGCCAGCAUCGGUUUGGAGCGGCAGGAUAAUGGCGGAGGAAUGUGGCACGGCUUCUGCUGUGUGUUAUAGCCUCUGACGAUACUGCCAGCCUAGACCGAGGACUGCGGUUUUUACCUAGGAUGU